GCCGCGCUGGGAGAGCGCCGGGGGAACGCCGGGAGAACAUCGGGAAAACGCCGGGAGAACACCGGGAAAACGUCGGGAGAACAUCGGGAGAACACCGAGAGAACACCGGGAGAAGACCAAGAAUGCGCCAGUGGCUGGAGCCAAGAUGAUGAAGUUCAUACAGUGGGGAAGGGAAUGUGUUGAAGAGUCCUGCAGAAGCUGAAGCUGAGAACCCAGCUGAGUUUGGAUGAAGGACAAUUCCAGCACAACAGCACUGCUCCUUUCUCCCAUUUGAAGAGAAAAAUAGAUGAUAAAAUAAUGACUGCGAUAGAGGCCAUCAGCUCUGAGUACAUGAAGACACUCCCAACUUUUUGUAACCUGACAGCCUCUGCUGUUCCUGCCUAA
rnacentral:lncRNA from 1 species